UUAUGUUACAAAUGACAAAUAUAGAACGAAGCUGAGUCUCACCAGUCGGGACUCUAAAAACGACGUCGUUGGGGCAGCUGCAGCAGGUACAUCAAAGCCUAAAAAAUACACACCCACACACACUCAGGAAAUUAGGAGGAAGAAAUAGAAAGAAAAAAAGAUUAUGCACUUAACCAACUCGUACCGUAAGAUGUUUAUUUGUCAAAUGCUCUAGGAUGAUGAAUUUUUCUUUGCCUUCAAACUUCAUUUCUUUUGCUAGCCUUUUUCAUAUAUUAUUUCCUUCAAGUAGGGCCGAACUGCAAAACAAAUCCGUUGGUCAUAAUUUUCUUAUGCAACCAUUUUCUGUUGCGAUGAUGAGUAGCACAUCAACAGCCAUCGCCUUUGUCUUAUCUUAAAAUUUCGAAUUAAUAUAUAUAUAUAUAUAUAUAUAUAUAUAUAUAUAGAUAUAUAUAUAUAUUAGGAUAAAAAGAUAAUCAGACCUAACCUGAUAAGAGGUUUAUUUAAUUUACAUAAUUCUCUGGUUUUCUUAUUCUUGUUAUGAGGUCUACCAUAUCAAACAAUGGGUCAAUACUCAAUAGCUUUAUCUUGUCUGGAAAAUGUAGACUAUUCAAUAAACUAGUUCGAAAUUCAGAAAUUUUAGAAUAUUAGCAAUUUAGCUCGUUCGAUAGAUAAGUACAUUUAUAAAAACGUUCGAUAGAUAAGUACAUUUAUAACAGUAACAUUGUACUAUAUCGUCAGUAUCUUGCAUAGGUUCAACAGAACAAAUGUUUAUCGGCUAGAUAUCAUAGAGACAAAACAGAGUCUGAAUUAUCUGUUCCUCAAAGGUCAGUUUGCUUAAGCAAGUGCUAGUUAUACAUAUUUUUCGCAAUAAAAGCUAUAAACUAGUCCUAAAUGUAUAGGCGUGAUCUGUUUUAAAGAAAUUUUAAGCCCAAAAAAUUUGAAUUUUCAACAGGUGCGGAGAAACAUUGAAAUAUUAAAUUGACUAAAUAUUCACUCUCAAGAUGGACGUAUCUAGUACUAUUCAGUUUUCUUUCCAACAAAUGAGAUUCUAUACCAGGAAAAUUUGUAUUAAAAUAGUAGUUAAAAUAUUACCUUAUACUGGGAGAAGUGCAAACCGUUCAAGAUGCACAUUACUAAUUGUAACAGUCAACUGAAUGAUUUCUUGCUCAUGAAAUGCAGGUCUGGACCUACU
rnacentral:lncRNA from 1 species